GGAAAGGUAACACAUGGCCAGCGAAAGCUUUUUUUUUUGAGAGCCCAGGUGGUCGUGUGGUCUAGCGGGACGGCUGCAGUGCAGGCGAUUUGGUGUCACGAUAUCACAGUAGCAUGGGUUCGAAUCCCGGCGAGGGAAGAACCAAAAAUUUGCGAAAGCAAAUUUACAGAUCUAACAUUGUUGGGUUGAUGUUUAGACGAGUUGUAUAUACAUUAUGUACACAGCCAUGUAUCACCAUCAUUGAUGGCGAUCCGAUGGAUACAUCUGUUGUAGAGUUGUCACUGACUCAGACGUACUUAUAAAUAUAAUUAUUUUCUGUGACUGUAUAUUACAUUAAUU
rnacentral:lncRNA from 1 species